rnacentral:rRNA from 1 species
ACUAUCGUUAACUGAAUACAUAGGUUAACGAGGCGAACCGGGGGAACUGAAACAUCUAAGUACCCCGAGGAAAAGAAAUCAACCGAGAUUCCCCCAGUAGCGGCGAGCGAACGGGGAGCAGCCCAGAGUCUGAAUCAGCUUGUGUGUUAGUGGAACGGUCUGGAAAGUCCGACGGUACAGGGUGAUAGUCCCGUACACCAAAAUGCACAGGCUGUGAACUCGAAGAGUAGGGCGGGACACGUGGUAUCCUGUCUGAAUAUGGGGGGACCAUCCUCCAAGGCUAAAUACUCCUGACUGACCGAUAGUGAACCAGUACCGUGAGGGAAAGGCGAAAAGAACCCCGGCGAGGGGAGUGAAAAAGAACCUGAAACCGUGUACGUACAAGCAGUGGGAGCACCUUCGGGUGUGACUGCGUACCUUUUGUAUAAUGGGUCAGCGACUUAUAUUCUGUAGCAAGGUUAACCGUAUAGGGGAGCCGCAGGGAAACCGAGUCUUAACUGGGCGUUAAGUUGCAGGGUAUAGACCCGAAACCCGGUGAUCUAGCCAUGGGCAGGUUGAAGGUUGGGUAACACUAACUGGAGGACCGAACCGACUAAUGUUGAAAAAUUAGCGGAUGACUUGUGGCUGGGGGUGAAAGGCCAAUCAAACCGGGAGAUAGCUGGUUCUCCCCGAAAGCUAUUUAGGUAGCGCCUCGUGAAUUCAUCUUCGGGGGUAGAGCACUGUUUCGGCUAGGGGGUCAUCCCGACUUACCAACCCGAUGCAAACUACGAAUACCGAAGAAUGUUAUCACGGGAGACACACGGCGGGUGCUAACGUCCGUCGUGAAGAGGGAAACAACCCAGACCGCCAGCUAAGGUCCCAAAGUCAUGGUUAAGUGGGAAACGAUGUGGGAAGGCACAGACAGCCAGGAUGUUGGCUUAGAAGCAGCCAUCAUUUAAAGAAAGCGUAAUAGCUCACUGGUCGAGUCGGCCUGCGCGGAAGAUGUAACGGGGCUAAACCAUGCACCGAAGCUGCGGCAGCGACACUAUGUGUUGUUGGGUAGGGGAGCGUUCUGUAAGCCUGCGAAGGUGACCUGUGAGGGUUGCUGGAGGUAUCAGAAGUGCGAAUGCUGACAUAAGUAACGAUAAAGCGGGUGAAAAGCCCGCUCGCCGGAAGACCAAGGGUUCCUGUCCAACGUUAAUCGGGGCAGGGUGAGUCGACCCCUAAGGCGAGGCCGAAAGGCGUAGUCGAUGGGAAACAGGUUAAUAUUCCUGUACUUGGUGUUACUGCGAAGGGGGGACGGAGAAGGCUAUGUUAGCCGGGCGACGGUUGUCCCGGUUUAAGCAUGUAGGCUGGUUAUCCAGGCAAAUCCGGAUAAUCAAGGCUGAGGUGUGAUGACGAGGCACUACGGUGCUGAAGUAACAAAUGCCCUGCUUCCAGGAAAAGCCUCUAAGCAUCAGGUAACAUCAAAUCGUACCCCAAACCGACACAGGUGGUCAGGUAGAGAAUACCAAGGCGCUUGAGAGAACUCGGGUGAAGGAACUAGGCAAAAUGGUGCCGUAACUUCGGGAGAAGGCACGCUGGUGUGUAGGUGAAGUCCCUGCGGAUGGAGCUGAGACCAGUCGAAGAUACCAGCUGGCUGCAACUGUUUAUUAAAAACACAGCACUGUGCAAACACGAAAGUGGACGUAUACGGUGUGACGCCUGCCCGGUGCCGGAAGGUUAAUUGAUGGGGUUAUCCGUAAGGAGAAGCUCUUGAUCGAAGCCCCGGUAAACGGCGGCCGUAACUAUAACGGUCCUAAGGUAGCGAAAUUCCUUGUCGGGUAAGUUCCGACCUGCACGAAUGGCGUAAUGAUGGCCAGGCUGUCUCCACCCGAGACUCAGUGAAAUUGAACUCGCUGUGAAGAUGCAGUGUACCCGCGGCAAGACGGAAAGACCCCGUGAACCUUUACUAUAGCUUGACACUGAACAUUGAGCCUUGAUGUGUAGGAUAGGUGGGAGGCUUUGAAGCGUGGACGCCAGUCUGCGUGGAGCCAACCUUGAAAUACCACCCUUUAAUGUUUGAUGUUCUAACGUUGGCCCCUUACCGGGGUUGCGGACAGUGUCUGGUGGGUAGUUUGACUGGGGCGGUCUCCUCCCAAAGCGUAACGGAGGAGCACGAAGGUUAGCUAAUCCUGGUCGGACAUCAGGAGGUUAGUGCAAUGGCAUAAGCUAGCUUGACUGCGAGCGUGACGGCGCGAGCAGGUGCGAAAGCAGGUCAUAGUGAUCCGGUGGUUCUGAAUGGAAGGGCCAUCGCUCAACGGAUAAAAGGUACUCCGGGGAUAACAGGCUGAUACCGCCCAAGAGUUCAUAUCGA